rnacentral:lncRNA from 1 species
CGCCUGCGGCUUAGAGCGGAGCCGGGAGGCGUCUCCCGCGUUUCGCAGCUUGGGCUGGGGAGGAGCCGCGGUCGCAGCCGCUCGUUUCUGCCACGUCCCUCCCGGGCGAAGGCGAGCCUGGCGGGCAGCGGCCGGGAGCGCCACAGCACGUGCGCGCCGCAUGAAUGUCUGUUUGUUGGUGGUGUGAGCCAGUGUUUUGGACAAAGCAAUGUUUUAGAAACAGAACUAUAGAAAGAGAACCUCCAGCCAAAGGUUUUUAUACAGGAACCAAUCCGACGCGAAAAGAAACGAGGUCGACCAGAAGAAGCAUUUCUUGGUUGCCCCUUUGACCCCUCUUUGAUUAGAUUUCCUUGACGAG